rnacentral:tRNA from 1 species
GCGGAUGUGGCGGAACUGGUAGACGCGCUGGAUUUAGGUUCCAGUGGAGCAAUCCGUGGAGGUUCGAGUCCUCUCAUCCGCACCA